GACGAACGCUGGCGGCGUGCUUAACACAUGCAAGUCGAACGAAGAGCGACGGAAGCUUGCUUCUAUCAAUCUUAGUGGCGAACGGGUGAGUAACGCGUAAUCAACCUGCCCUUCAGAGGGGGACAACAGUUGGAAACGACUGCUAAUACCGCAUACGAUCUAAUCUCGGCAUCGAGGAUGGAUGAAAGGUGGCCUCUACAUGUAAGCUAUCACUGAAGGAGGGGAUUGCGUCUGAUUAGCUAGUUGGAGGGGUAACGGCCCACCAAGGCGAUGAUCAGUAGCCGGUCUGAGAGGAUGAACGGCCACAUUGGGACUGAGACACGGCCCAGACUCCUACGGGAGGCAGCAGUGGGGAAUCUUCCGCAAUGGACGAAAGUCUGACGGAGCAACGCCGCGUGAGUGAUGACGGCCUUCGGGUUGUAAAGCUCUGUUAAUCGGGACGAAAGGCCUUCUUGCGAAUAGG
rnacentral:rRNA from 1 species